UGAGUAACACGUGGGAACGUGCCUUUAGGUUCGGAAUAGCUCCUGGAAACGGGUGGUAAUGCCGAAUGUGCCCUUCGGGGGAAAGAUUUAUCGCCUUUAGAGCGGCCCGCGUCUGAUUAGCUAGUUGGUGAGGUAAUGGCUCACCAAGGCGACGAUCAGUAGCUGGUCUGAGAGGAUGACCAGCCACAUUGGGACUGAGACACGGCCCAAACUCCUACGGGAGGCAGCAGUGGGGAAUCUUGCGCAAUGGGCGAAAGCCUGACGCAGCCAUGCCGCGUGGAUGAUGAAGGUCUUAGGAUUGUAAAAUCCUUUCACCGGUGAAGAUAAUGACUGUAGCCGGAGAAGAAGCCCCGGCUAACUUCGUGCCAGCAGCCGCGGUAAUACGAAGGGGGCUAGCGUUGCUCGGAAUUACUGGGCGUAAAGGG
rnacentral:rRNA from 1 species